GAGUUGAUAGCUCAGUUGGUAGAGCAAUCGGCUUUUAACUGAUUGGUCCUGGGUUCGAGACCCAGUCAACUCA
rnacentral:tRNA from 1 species